CCGAACUCCUGCCUUGUGCACUGUGCAUGUUAACUAAAACAGCCUGUUGACGGCUUAAAAUAAACCUGCCUUUUUCCAUUUAGCAUUUUAUCAAAUGAAUGUAAUUUUGUUUGCUGAUGAAUUUAGUUCAGCUUCAAGGAGAUUUUUCUCUUCUUCCUGGGGAAGCUGGAGAAUCAGAAUUGUCAUGCCAAAGGAUGAAAAACAAGCCUAGGGAGAAAAGACAGGCUGAUGUGGAUGUGGGUAAUUAUUGCAGCCUGAUUAUAAAACUUGGGAUUCGGUGCCUAUGCCGACUGUGUGUGCUGUCCGGGCAAUGUUUGCAGCAUCUACUACAGAUAAAUAACUUGGAACUCUUGAUUGCCUGAAUGGUUUGAUGUGCUCUUGGGCAGUACUUCCAUUGUGUCCAGCCUAUGAGUCAUAUGAGGAGGAGUCAAAGAGGGUGACAUCAUGGAUCUGUUGAUCAGAGGAAGGUCUUGGUCUCACAGACACCAAG
rnacentral:lncRNA from 1 species